rnacentral:rRNA from 1 species
UACGUAGGGUGCGAGCGUUUGUCCGGAAUUACUGGGCGUAAAGAGCUCGUAGGUGGUUUGUCGCGUUGUCCGUGAAAACUCACAACUCAAUUGUGGGCGUGCGGGCGAUACGGGCAGACUGGAGUACUGCAGGGGGAGACUGGAAAUUCCUGGUGUAGCGGUGGAAUGCGCAGAUAUCAGGAGGAACACCGGUGGCGAAGGCGGGUCUCCUGGGCAGUAACUACGUGAGGAGCGAAAAGCGUGGGGGAGCGAACAGG